AAUAGAUACCCCGGUAGUCCUGGCCCUAAACGAUGAGUGCUUGGUGUGGCGGGUAUCGAUCCCUGCCGUGCCGAAGCUAACGCAUUAAGCACUCCGCCUGGGGAGUACGGUCGCAAGGCUGAAACUCGAAAGGAAUUGACGGGGGCCCGCACAAGCGGUGGAGCAUGUGGUUUAAUUCGACGCAACGCGAAGAACCUUACCCAGGCUCGAAAUGCAGACGAUCGCCGGUGAAAGCCGGUUCCCGCAAGGGCGUCUGUAUAGGUGCUGCAUGGCUGUCGUCAGCUCGUGUCGUGGGAUGUUGGGUUAAGUCCCGCAACGAGCGCAACCCUUGUCUUCUGUUGCCAUCAGGUCACGCUGGGCACUCUGGAGAAACUGCCGGUGACAAACCGGAGGAAGGUGGGGAUGACGUCAAGUCAGCAUGGCCUUUAUGUCUGGGGCUACACACGUGCUACAAUGGCCGGUACAAACCGCUGCAAACUCGCGAGGGUGAGCUAAUCGGAGAAAGCCGGUCUCAGUUCGGAUUGU
rnacentral:rRNA from 1 species